GACAGAGGUGCCAAGCGUUAGGCGGAAUCACUGGGCUUAAAGCGUGUGUAGGCGGGUCGUUAAGUACCUUGUGAAAUCCCACGGCUCAACCGUGGAACGGCUGGGUAUACUGGCGAUCUUGAGCCACCUAGGGGCAGUCGGAACAAGUGGUGGAGCGGUGAAAUGCGUAGAUAUCACUUGGAACGCCAAUGGUGAAAACAGACUGCUGGGGGUGUGCUGACGCUGAGACACGAAAGCCAGGGGAGCAAACAGG
rnacentral:rRNA from 1 species